rnacentral:rRNA from 1 species
GAUGAACGCUGGCGGCGUGCCUAAUCCAUGCAAGUCGAGCGAAGCGGGGACGGGUGAGUAACACGUGGAUAACCUCCUAUAAGACUGGGAUAACUUCUGGAAACCGGAGCUCAACCGGAUACUUAUAACUUUAUCCGCGCUGCAUUAGCUAGUUGGUAAGGUAACGGCUUACCAAGGCAACGAUGCAUAGCCGAUCUGAGAGGGUGAUCGGCCACACUGGAACUGAGACACGGUCCAGACUCCUACGGGUGGCAGCAGUAGGGAAUCUUCCGCAAUGGGCGAAAGCCUGACGGAGCAACGCCGCGUGAGUGAUGAAGGUCUUCGGAUCGGAAAACUCUGUUAUUAGGGAAGCGGUACCUAAUCAGAAAGCCACGGCUAACUACGUGCCAGCAGCCGCGGUAAUUC